rnacentral:sRNA from 1 species
UGCAUUUCUGUUUGCAAUCAUCGAUAUCCUGCAUAACUAUACUAUUCUUUAUUAUAUAGUAUUCUAAUUAAGAUUAAAUCACCUGCUUUAUCUAUCACACCUGCUCAAAAAUAAUUAACUCGUGGUCAAUCAUUGAUGUCCUACCUUUUUGUCCAAGUGAUUGAACUUAUUAAAAUUGCCUCUGAUUAUCUAUUGCGUAUUGGGGAGUUCAACUGUUGGAGAUAAUAUUCGUAAUAUCGGAGAUCUUAUAUCACCUUUCACUUCUUGAAACCCGAGCACUGCCUGACUUGUAUAAUCGAGCAUUCCCUUUCUUAUAAAUACUGCCUUUUUCUUAUGCAAUAUUCUUUUGAUAUUCAGUAUUUGGGUCAAUAUUCGGACGCACUACCGUUCUGACAUCAACACAUUUGCGAAUUUGAAGUAGCCACUCUCAAGAAGUAUGGUGACUCUGCUAGACAGCUAAGUAGUGAAUAGAGG